rnacentral:rRNA from 1 species
CCCAUAAAGUUGUUCUCAGUUCGGAUUGUAGUCUGCAACUCGACUACAUGAAGCUGGAAUCGCUAGUAAUCGUAGAUCAGCAUGCUACGGUGAAUACGUUCCCGGGUCUUGUACACACCGCCCGUCACACCACGAGAGUUUGUAACACCCGAAGCCGGUGGAGUAACCUUUUAGGAGCUAGCCGUCGAAGGUGGGACAAAUGAUUGGGGUGAAGUCGUAACAAGGUAGCCGUAUCGGAAGGUGCGGCUGGAUCACCUCCUUUCUAAGGAUAUAUUCGGAAC